rnacentral:rRNA from 1 species
AACGAACGCUGGCGGCAUGCCUAACACAUGCAAGUCGAACGAGACCUUCGGGUCUAGUGGCGCACGGGUGCGUAACGCGUGGGAAUCUGCCCUUGGGUUCGGAAUAACAGUUGGAAACGACUGCUAAUACCGGAUGAUGACGUAAGUCCAAAGAUUUAUUGCCCAAGGAUGAGCCCGCGUAGGAUUAGCUAGUUGGUGAGGUAAAGGCUCACCAAGGCGACGAUCCUUAGCUGGUCUGAGAGGAUGAUCAGCCACACUGGGACUGAGACACGGCCCAGACUCCUACGGGAGGCGGCAGUGGGGAAUAUUGGACAAUGGGCGAAAGCCUGAUCCAGCAAUGCCGCGUGAGUGAUGAAGGCCUUAGGGUUGUAAAGCUCUUUUACCCGGGAUGAUAAUGACAGUACCGGGAGAAUAAGCUCCGGCUAACUCCGUG